rnacentral:misc_RNA from 1 species
GAGAGUUUUGCCCCGGUUGGAAUUCAUGAGAAGUUUAGUUGAGAAGAAACUAUGCGAUGAAGAUUACAAUCUGUAUACUGUUCUGUUGCCAUCAGAACAGAAGUUUUACCAGGCUUAUGUGCUUGCCCAUAAGCUGCCUGAUGUGUGUGAACUAUACAACAAAAUUCAGCAGCAUGGAAAAGACAAAAAGUGAUAUUCUUGCUCGCCAAAGUAUUUUGGCUCAAUAGCAACUUCCUAUGUUGUGCUGGAUGAGGCAUGCGAGAAUGACAACCGUUGUGGCAUUCAAUCAGAGAAGGGCGGUGAUGGCAACAGCUUUGCAGAUGACUCAUUGCUGCUUGAUGAGAGGACUUGAUCUGCAAAGUCAUCUCAAGCAUGCAUUCAUACAGAUUGCAGGUAGCAAACACACAGCAUUCUGUCAAACAAAGCUGAAGCAGAGCCGGUGAUGCAUAAUUUUACUAGUUUUAACUCUCUAAGAUGGAUAAACUUUAAUGUCAAUAGCUCUCAAGCUGGCCAAAUAGCAAACAAUGGCUGGCAAUUUUGUCUCUAAAUCCUGACCUACAUUUAGUCUUGUAGUUAAGUACAUGCUUUUGAUAUUUCUCAGAAUUUCAGUUAGGUAGCAGAAGCCACAGGAAAAGAGACACAAAAGGGUGUGUUCAGUAUGAAGGUAAUUGUUUUCCAUGGAAAAUGUUUCGAGGACAAUAUAUGGUUUUUUAAUUAUUGUCU